rnacentral:rRNA from 1 species
AGUAUUUGGUCGUAGACCCGAAACCAGGUGAUCUACCCUUGGUCAGGUUGAAGUUCAGGUAACACUGAAUGGAGGACCGAACCGACUUACGUUGAAAAGUGAGCGGAUGAACUGAGGGUAGCGGAGAAAUUCCAAUCGAACCUGGAGAUAGCUGGUUCUCUCCGAAAUAGCUUUAGGGCUAGCCUCAAGUGAUGAUUAUUGGAGGUAGAGCACUGUUUGGACGAGGGGCCCCUCUCGGGUUACCGAAUUCAGACAAACUCCGAAUGCCAAUUAAUUUAACUUGGGAGUCAGAACAUGGGUGAUAAGGUCCGUGUUCGAAAGGGAAACAGCCCAGACCACCAGCUAAGGUCCCAAAAUAUAUGUUAAGUGGAAAAGGAUGUGGCGUUGCCCAGACAACUAGGAUGUUGGCUUAGAAGCAGCCAUCAUUUAAAGAGUGCGUAAUAGCUCACUAGUCGAGUGACACUGCGCCGAAAAUGUACCGGGGCUAAACAUAUUACCGAAGCUGUGGAUUGUCCUUUGGACAAUGGUAGGAGAGCGUUCUAAGGGCGUUGAAGCAUGAUCGUAAGGACAUGUGGAGCGCUUAGAAGUGAGAAUGCCGGUGUGAGUAGCGAAAGACGGGUGAGAUUCCAGAGGAAGGCUCGUCCGCUCUGGGUUAGUCGGGUCCUAAGCUGAGGCCGACAGGCGUAGGCGAUGGAUAACAGGUUGAUAUUCCUGUACCACCUAUAAUCGUUUUAAUCGAUGGGGGGACGCAGUAGGAUAGGCGAAGCGUGCGAUUGGAUUGCACGUCUAAGCAGUAAGGCUGAGUAUUAGGCAAAUCCGGUACUCGUUAAGGCUGAGCUGUGAUGGGGAGAAGACAUUGUGUCUUCGAGUCGUUGAUUUCACACUGCCGAGAAAAGCCUCUAAGGUGCCCGUACCGCAAACCGACACAGGUAGUCAAGAUGAGAAUUCUAAGGUGAGCGAGCGAACUCUCGUUAAGGAACUCGGCAAAAUGACCCCGUAACUUCGGGAGAAGGGGUGCUCUUUAGGGUUAACGCCCAGAAGAGCCGCAGUGAAUAGGCCCAAGCGACUGUUUAUCAAAAACACAGGUCUCUGCUAAACCGUAAGGUGAUGUAUAGGGGCUGACGCCUGCCCGGUGCUGGAAGGUUAAGAGGAGUGGUUAGCUUCUGCGAAGCUACGAAUCGAAGCCCCAGUAAACGGCGGCCGUAACUAUAACGGUCCUAAGGUAGCGAAAUUCCUUGUCGGGUAAGUUCCGACCCGCACGAAAGGCGUAACGAUUUGG